rnacentral:rRNA from 1 species
AUUGAACGCUGGCGGAAUGCUUUACACAUGCAAGUCGAGCGGCAGCGCGGGGCAACCUGGCGGCGAGCGGCGAACGGGUGAGUAAUGCAUCGGAACGUACCUUGUAGUGGGGGAUAACUAUCCGAAAGGAUGGCUAAUACCGCAUACGCCCUGAGGGGGAAAGGGGGGGAUCGCAAGACCUCUCGCUAUUAGAGCGGCCGAUGUUCGAUUAGCUGGUUGGUGAGGUAAAGGCUCACCAAGGCGACGAUCGAUAGCUGGUCUGAGAGGAUGAUCAGCCACACUGGAACUGAGACACGGUCCAGACUCCUACGGGAGGCAGCAGUGGGGAAUUUUGGACAAUGGGGGCAACCCUGAUCCAGCCAUUCCGCGUGAGUGAAGAAGGCCUUCGGGUUGUAAAGCUCUUUCGGCAGGAACGAAACGGUGAGUGU